rnacentral:rRNA from 1 species
AGCUAUACAUGCAAGUCGAGCGAGCCGAACUAAUUGAUUACCUUCGGGUAUGAAGUUAGGGAAGCGAGCGGCGGAUGGGUGAGUAACACGUGGGUAACCUACCCUAUAGUCUGGGAUACCACUUGGAAACAGGUGCUAAUACCGGAUAAAAGGAGAGAUCACAUGAUUUCUUUUUGAAAGGCGGCGUAAGCUGUCGCUAAAGGAUGGACCCGCGGUGCAUUAGCUAGUUGGUAAGGUAACGGCUUACCAAGGCAACGAUGCAUAGCCGAGUUGAGAGACUGAUCGGCCACAUUGGGACUGAGACACGGCCCAAACUCCUACGGGAGGCAGCAGUAGGGAAUCUUCCACAAUGGACGCAAGUCUGAUGGAGCAACGCCGCGUGAGUGAAGAAGGUUUUCGGAUCGUAAAGCUCUGUUGUUGGUGAAGAAAGAUAGUGAGAGUAACUGCUCAUUAUUUGCCGGUAAUCGACCAGAAAGUCACGGCUAACUACGUGCCAGCAGCCGCGGUAAUACGUAGGUGGCAAGCGUUGUCCGGAUUUAUUGGGCGUAAAGCGAGCGCAGGCGGAAAGAUAAGUCAGAUGUGAAAGCCCUCGGCUUAACCGAGGAAUAGCAUCGGAAACUGUCUUUCUUGAGUGCAGAAGAGGAGAGUGGAACUCCAUGUGUAGCAGUGGAAUGCGUAGAUAUAUGGAAGAACACCAGUGGCGAAGGCGGCUCUCUGGUCUGUAACUGACGCUGAGGC